GGCACAUCUGCAGGCUUCUUCAACCCCAUUCCUGCCAAGACUGAACGAGCCCACUCACCAUGGCUUCUUAGAGCUGUGUGGUUGGAUCCCAUGGAGAUCAACCACAACAUUCCAUUGACCUCAUAAAGCCUGACCUAGGAGUGAAUAGAAGAAUCAGCAAACCAGGUAUUAAAGAAAAAUCCAAGAAUCCAGGAGCCCAAGACAAUGCAGACGGAGCAGAGAGCAGUUCCCCUGGUGGCCCUUGGAAGAUGUGGCUUGGCCCAAAUAAGAGAUACCCAAAUUCCGUAAAUGGUGAGACCAGCAUAGUCUGACCUGGACCCUGGAAGUAGGGAGAGAAGGUAGUAGAAAGAAUGGGAUGCUUGAAUACAUGUGCUGGAUUCCAGGAGAAAGGGGGCAAAAAUGUGUUCCUCACAUCCUGUCAUUUGCCCCAAAGGGCCUCCCCAGGCCAGUGAUUGAAGAAGGGCUUGAAGGGCAGAGAUGUCCAGGGCAGGGGUCGAUACCUCCUGAACUCAGCUGCUUAGGCCUCACUUUGAGCCUUGAAACCCCUCUCCCCUGUUUUCUACUCUUCUCUUCCCUGAGGGUCUCCCUGAGCCAGACUCUUCAUGCACAUGUGUUUGUUCUGCGUGAUGGUCCCUCUGUGCCUGUCCUCAGGUGUGGAGAAGGAGGAAAGAUCAUGACCUCAGCUGAAGGCAAACACUCAAGCUACUGAGCCACCCAGGUGACCCUGGGAAUGAAAUGUUUCUCCAUAGAAGCCUGCAUCUCUUCCCAGGAGAAUGGUAUUAAAAAGCAAAAUGUGGGGCAAUGUAUCUCAUGGCUAUGAGGUGUCACUGCUUCCAGUCCCACUCAGCGGACAGACAAAGGGCAUAUAGAUGAGUUGGCUAACCCAGGAACGUGCACCUAGUGGUGACUGUUUCCACAUGCACUUACCAGACUCCAUCAAACGAAACAUGAUUCCAAACUGCCAGCUCCAGCUCUAAUCCAUGACCAACUACAGGCUUCCCUCAGGCCUCCUCCCUUGGUCGUGUCUGAAUUCCCUUUUUCAAAGUGAGAAAUCGGGAUCCACCUCCAUCCAUCCUUUUACUUAUCUAUUCAAUUCCUAUACACAUCACAGCCCCAUCAACAUAAUCCGCCUGUUCCCCACAGGACACAGGCUUACCUACUAGAGCACAGAGUCUGCACGAAGUCUAUUAUGACUUUACACGGCGGGCUCUGCUCCUUUUCACCAUCAUUCAGCUCAGUAGCGUCCCCAAGCCCUGCACUGAGUGGGGAUCACAGGUCUGUGCUGCAGGUACGUGGAGCUGUCAUAGUCCGUGCCCCAUUCCGGGCUCCAAACCUACCAAAUGAGUUGUACCUGCACACUCUUGGGUUCUGUCGUGUGGCUGUACAGUGUUCAGUGACUCUGACAGUUUCAUUGUGUCAUUUUAGUGCCAUCACAGCAUCGUAUAGAAUUAUUCUGCUGCUCAGAGACGUUUUCCUUUGUUCACAUGAUCAACUCUGUUGUCAUUUUUAUCCUCCUGGAAACUGCAGAUGUUUGCACUCACCAGAGUGUUCGCCGCUUCCCAUAUGUGAUGUAACUUUAACCAUACUAUGUAUUCUGUCCCUUUUUAUAAAUGUGCUGCCUAUUUGCUGGCAUCUAAGUUCGGUUCCAUGUUUGGGUGAUUAGAUAUAAACCUGGGGUAAAUCUCUGUGGACAGAUUUCUGCUCGCUUUCAGUUUUUAGUGAUGAGCAAUGAAACUGCUAUAAACAUUCACGUGCAGGUUUAUUCCAUGGACAAAAGUUUGGGGAUUUUUUUAAACUUUUGCAAAUCUAAGUGAGCAUUCAUUUCUCAAAGAAUCAGGAAACAAGACAAAACUAGGGAGAAGCACCAUUUAUAAUCAAGUAGGUAGUAAUCUCUGAAGCCACAGGACUGAGUUAUUCUUCCAGCACCACAUGGGGAGUGCUGAGAUCCCAUGAUAUGGUCAGAGACAAAAUAAAAUGUUUGAUGUAUUUGAAAAUCAGAAGGAAAAAAAAAUUAAUAUGAUCCAGCCUAGAAGUAAAACACCCCAGCUGAUGAAAGAAGAAAUUUCUCUUCACAUGGAGACUCUUUAUUGAGGAAUGGGCUGCUCUGAGUGACUCUGAGGACAGGAGUGACAGGAGAGCCUUGCUCUCUGUCAAUGUUCUUGAUAAACCUGGGCCCAGGACAUCAGCAAAGGAAUAAGGAGCAUCACAGGCUAAGUUGAGCAGGAACUGCUGGCAUGUGUCCCCUUCUACAGAUGAGCAAGUGGGUUUUUCGCCUCACUUCACCUCAGGCCUGGAGCACUGUAUGACUUCUGAAUCUGUCAUCCCACGAUGAGCAGUAAUAAUUCGCCUCGUCCUCAGCCUGGAGCCCAGUGAUGGUCAGGGUGGCUGAGCUGCCAG